UUUUUAUUAUUUCGUUGAUACGGAUUCUGGAGAGUUUUAAAAAAAAUUUAAAGUUGUCCCCCUUAUCUGUCUUGAAUCAAAGAUUGAUUCUUUCCCUUCACCAUGAAUUAAAUUUCGAAUAAUAAAAAUUUCUUGUCUCAAUAAUUAUUUUACCACCAGCGUUACGAUUUAGUUUGCAUGGAGAGUGUGUUCUGGGGUAUUUCCUCCUACCCCUUGUUAAUCUGUUCGAAUAUUUUUCAAUUUUAAAACAGUUCCAUUACAUUAUCAGAAAUAAAACAAAACAGGUGUUUUAUUUUUUGUAACUUAUAAACCUGUUUAAAAGAAAUAAUAUAGUAUAAAAAUAGCGAAACAAAUGUAGCAAAUCUCUAUAUACUUAGUCUUUUCCCUGCGAACGAAGACAGCUUUUAAUGGAGAUAUAACUUAUUCUCCUUCAACAAGUCCAAACCAGUUUCAUAAAACUAUGUAGCUAAAUCCCUCGAAUAUGUUUUUAAAAAUCCUUGGUUGUGCCCUCCCUGAUCCCUCUAGUAUAAAACAUCACCAAAAUUACCAGGAGGGUAAAGUUUCCUUUUAACGUACAACGCAAUGAGUUUUGAUAUCCUCUGUAAUUUAAUAUUUUGAAGAUGUAAUUUUUGUUUUGCCUUCAAACAUGUAAGUAGUUGCCUCCCUUAAUCUGAUAAAAGUAUUUAUAAUUUUACUGAUUAACUUUAAAUCUGAACCUGAAAAAUGAAAUUAGAUUUUUUGGUCAAUUUUAUCCUUCAUAUUUUGUAAAUUUUGGACAGAAUAUAUCCUUAUUAAUUGUAUUAUAUUAUGAGUUUAUUUUAUAUUUCAUUGAAACAUUAACAAGUAAUUUAUAUGUUGAAGUUCAUUGAUCAAUAAAAUUUUAAACAAUUUUUUUUUUGUUUGUUUUCAGGUAACAACUGGUACUUCAAAAAUUAUGCUGCAGACUGCCCCAUGCCCCCUGUUAAAAAAAUUCCUAUGUUUUUAUAUGCCAAAUAUAACGGAUGCCACCUAUUUGGAGUACCAGUUUAUCAGGAGUAAUAAAAUGGAAUCUUUUAUUGGUAAAUUUGUCAAUAUUCUAAUUUCAAAUAAUGGAAUUAAUUAUUGGCAUAUUUUCGUUUGAGAUUUCUAUUUCCUUUUUUAAGGAGUUGGGAACGCCUGAACAUUACCGUCCGGGCGACUAUAUCCUUUAAAAUGAAUACUAAUCAGAAAAUUCUUUUAUUUUAGCUUAAAAAAAAAAAUUUAAAAAAAAUUACAAAAAAAAAAUACAACAAAACAAAUAUGCAUACACACAAUAAUUCUGACAAAAUUCUCUUUCAGGAUUAUUCUUUUUCAGGAUUUAAUUUAAAAAUAGUCUUGGAUGAGGUAUAACAUUAUUUUUGUCUCUUUACAGAUAUGUGUUUUCACAUAUUGAUUCAAAUUAGUUUUCACGUGUUUUUCUGAAGAAAGCAUGGGUGGGUUCCAGAAUUUGCAAACCAGAACCAGAUGACAAUAGAAGCGUAUGGUAUCAGGGAGUAUAUUCUGAUUAUUAUUAUUAUUAUAAUUAUUUUAGUUAAUAACUAUAUAAACAUUUUAUUAAAGUUCACUUCAUCAACAUAUAUUUAAUUUAAAUAGCUAUUUCAAAUGCUAUUUUCAUUACAAAUUUGGUAAAUACAAUCAGUAUCUUCACUAAGUUACAAUAAGAGAUUUUUUUUUUUAAUUAAAAAUUUUUUUUUUUUUUUUAAUGUGGUCAAAUCGUGGGUCAAUUUCUAAAGUUCUCUCUGUAUACUUUCAGAAGACUGAAACAAGUCGAUUGAAAAUGUGAUGCUGUGCAGUGUGAAACAUUUAGAUGAGACUGGAAAGAAAUUAUUCUUAGUCAUUAGAAGAAGAAAGAAAGGAUUGCAGAUUAAUAUUUAGAUUAGAAUAAUUUACAAUUAGUUUACUAAAAACAUAGCUACUUUAUGUACGAGUUAACAACUAAUAGUUUAUCUCUUUAGACUUAAGUUGCAUAUUUAGAAGGAAGUGUUAGAUAUAAAAACCUCAAUUUAUUGCUAUAUUUUCAUUUAAGUUGACCAUUCUGUGUGAAAAGAUACUUUUUGGUUAGUUAUAGUAUAAAUAUUAUGUUAUUAAAUAGUAUUUCUUUGAUUUGUAGAUACAUCAGAUUUCAUAGUUAUAGUCCCUUAAUAGAAGUAGUAUUGUUAAAUAAUCUAAAUAUCUAAAGUAUAACUUUCUGUUACAGUAACUGUAAUGUGUGAGAGAGGGUAUUAUAUAUACUUUCACCUGUUUUAAGAAUUACUAUGGCAGAAUCAUAUGCCAUAAUAGGUCAAUUGUUAGAACAAUAUUAGCAGAUAUGCCUAAACAUCUUGUUUAACAUCUUAUGUGGACACUUCUUGACUUGAAGAAGAAUAGGAAAUGUUAGGCCUUCUUAGAUAAUUUUCUUUGUCUUGCUUGUAUGUUUAUUUAUUGAAAUUUGUGAACAACUGUGUCAUUGAAUCCAAGCUUCCAAUGAGCCAAACAAUAGUUCACUGUAUGGCAAGAGUGUCAAGGGAGCAUCUGAGCAACUUGGCAGAACAAAUACCACACGGUGUUUGUUGUAUGAAAUUUACUUGUUUAUCUGUUUUCUUGCCAAUGUCCACAUAAGUUGUAGGCAUAUAAGCAUAAAUUUAUAUUUAUAAAUAUAUAUGCAUACAUGCAUACACAUACAGUACACACAUACCUACAUAUAUACACAUAUACAUGUAUACACAUACAAUACACACAUCUACAUAUGCAUGCAUACACACAUAUAUACAUGCAUACACAUGCAUGCACACACAUAUACACAUGCAUGCACACACAUAUACACAUGCACACACAUAUAUACACAUGCACUUGUAUACCCAUACAUUCAUACAUACAAACAUAUAUAUAUAUCCCACACCAUUGCUUGACAACCAAUGUUUCCGUAACUUAGCGGUUCGGCAAAAGAAACCGAUAAAAUAAGUACUGGGCUUACAAAGAAUAAGGCCUGGGGGUCGAGUUAUUCGACUGAAAAAAAACUCUUUAAGGCAGUGCUCCAGCAUGGCCGCAGUCAGAUGACUGAAACAAGUAAAAGUAUAUAUAUAUAUAUAUAUAUAUAUAUAUAUACACAUUCAUAUAUAUAUAUAUAUAUAUAUAUAUAUAUAUGUAUAUGUAUAUAUAUAUUACUUAUUUGCUUUAUAUAUGUAUAUAUGUAUAUAUAUACUCCAGUAGCAUAGCCAGAGUGUGUGCCACCCUGGGGUGACCCUUUAGUUUGUGCCCCCCCAUGCAUAUUGCUUACUGCAAGCCCAAAAGUGGUGCCACCUGGGGUAAACGUCCCCUCCAUCCCAUGUAGCUACGCUAGUGAUAUUCCACAUAAUUGUUACAUUAUAUACAUCAGCAGAUUUGGUUUCCAACUAAAUUUGGCUCUCUAGGCAUUGGCCAAUUCAAAGUUAUGAUAGAAUGCACUUGCCCAAGGUGUUGUAUUGUGAUGCAUAUCGUUGAGCUUCUUUUCUCAACAACCAUUUCUGUGCGUAUACCCAUCUUGUAACAUAGUAACUUUAUGUACUACAUUAAGUAGCUUUGGAUGUUAAAGUUACAAUGUUACAUCUAAAUUCAUUUUGAAUUAAAAUUGAAUAACAACAACAAAAAAAAGUAUAGCAUUGAAAUAUUUUAAUGUUAUACUUUUUUUUCCUUUCCAUUUUUGUUAUUUCAUCAUGUCAUUCUGAGCAACCUCCAUUAAAAGCCGGUUUUCCUUUCCUUUCCUCAUCAAACCAAUCCUAUCUUUUUGAGUUUCAUUUUUUCCACACCUCUUUAAUACUGUUAAUACUGGGAUUGGCAGAAUUGUUAAAGAGUUGGACGAAAUGCUUUGUGGUGUUUAUGUUAAGGCUCUUUACAUUCUGAGUUCAUAUCCUAUUGAGGUCGACAUUGUCUUUCAUUCUUCAGGUUUCAGUAAAAAUAUGUACCAAUCAAGUAUUGAGAUCAAUUUAUAAUCAGCUCUAUCCUCCCUUGAGAUUUCUGGUCUUGUGUCAGCAAAAACCUAUAUUUCACAACAUACUGCCAGAAAUACUUCUUGAGAUUCUAGAAAAUUAAAUGAAAAAGAAAAUGAUGUAUUUUCCUUCUAUACACUCAAGUUAUACCAUAAUCUUUUGCACUGAGAUAUUAAAAUGACCUGUUUGCUGUAUUCUAACAUUGUUGCAAUUAAUUUUCACCUGAUUAGAGAACACAUUCUGUGAAUUUGACAAUUCUGAUGUAGAUUUUUUUCCUUUACCAAAGUCCGAAUACAACUGAAAACGUACCGAAAAGUUCAUUUUAAAAUCAAGAAUUUUUGUGAAAUACAAAACUUUUUUUUUUAAACAUUAUAAUUAACAAUGUUUUUAUUUUUGGAGGGGGUAAAAAAAAAAAGGCCUUUUUUUUUUAAAAAAAGUAUUUGAAAUAUUUUUUAUUGUUGGAUUGUAUAUUUUUAUUACUUUCCUUUUUUUUAUGGUCAGAAUACAUUUUUUACUGGUGUACUUCAAAUUAUUAUUAUGUCCUGUUUAAUAUUUAAUUAAAUGCGCAUUUAAUUAUUUUUAUUUUAUUUUUUGAAAAAUUUAUUAACAUUGUAUUAUUUAUUUAUUUAUUUAUUCUAUUUUGUAUUGAACUUUUUUUCUUGAAAUGCAACAUUUUUCGGUUUUCAUCAAAUUAUCUACAUCAUUUCUGACAAAAAAAAAAAGAAAUUGUCAGCGUUUUUGAAUGUUUGAGACAUUACAAAAUACAGCUGUGGGGGGAAAAAAACAACAAUCAUCAUUUCAUCAUAUCAUGAAAAUGUAAAUAUCUUGCAUAAUUCUCUCAUUUUUAUAGUUAAUUUGGAUCUCAUGCUUCUUAAAUUCUGGCAGUAUAAUUUUCUCAUACUGAAUUACUAAGCAAUUUUAGAAGCAAUAUUUUUUUUGUUUCCCAUCCUUAGUUUAAAAUUUUAACUCUUAUUAUGAUCAUUUUUGGAGAGUUCUAUUUGAAAUCAUUUAUAUGCAACAUCAUUCUCCUUAUUUUUCUUUAUGGUUAUUUUAUAAUUUGUUUAAAAUAUUUUUUUUACUAAUAUUGAAAUAUUAUUAUUGUUCAUUACUUUUACCAUUUGGGAAUGUUCCUUGGCACUAUAUAUUUUGCUAUUUGGGAAUGUCCCCUGGUGCUAUUUCCCUUCUCAUUUGGCAUCCUUUGAUACUACUUUUGUUGCCAUAUAUAUAUAUAUCCUCUGGGGUUAUCUGUAUUUCUUCCAUUUAGAGAUAUCUUGACAGAUACUCUAGUGCCAUAAAUAUAUUUCUUGCUAAAAUAUGCUGCUUAUUUCUGGCCAGUUAGUAUUGUUCCCUGGCUAUACACAUAUUUCUCUUGCCAUUUGGGGAUGUCUCCUGGCACUCUUUAUUUCUCUUGCCAUUUGGGGCUAUCUGUCCCCUGGUGCUAAAAAAUAGCAUUAAACCAUAACUAUACCUAUUUCUCUUGCCAUUUGGGUAUAACCCCUGGCACUACUUAUUUCUCUUGCUCAUGUCUAUUUCUUAUCACUUUUCCUUCAGCUUGCCAUUUUGGAACAUCUGUUUCCUGGCACUAUAUUUGUGUGUAUGUAUUAUACUUCUAUCUAUAUCUGCUUCUUGUGCCAUAUGGGUAUGACCCUUGACACUGUUUAUUUCUCUUGCUACUUGGGUACAUUUAUACCCUUGUGCUAAUUAUUUUUGUCCUUACUUGCAUCUAAUUUUCCUGCCAUGGGGGUGUAACCCCUGCAACUACUUACUUCUCUUGCCAUAUGGGGAUGUCCCCUGGCACUCACCCUUGCCAUAUGGGAAUAUCAGUUCCCUGGCCCUUUUUAUUUUCUCUUACCUCUAUUAAACUUACCAUAUGAAAACAUCUAAACCCCUGGCAUUAUUUUAUUUCUCUGAUAUCUAUUUAUCAAUAUUGCAAUAUAGGGAUAUCUGUCCCUUGGUACUGAAUAUUUCUCUUACCUCUAUUUAACUGCCAUUUGGAGAUAUCUGUUCUUAAAUGCUAUUUUAUUCUUCUCAUCUCUACAUUGCCAUUUGGGACUAAGUUCCCUGGCAUGUAUUUCUCUUCUAUCUAUUUGAUUUGCCAUUUGGGAGAUAGCUGUCCCCUGGCAUCAUAUAUAUUUCUCUUUCUUCUAUCUAUUUGUCUCCAUCUCCUGGCACUAUAUAGUUUCUCUUCCUUCGAUUUAUCUUGCUGUGUGAGGAUAUCUUCCUAAGUGCUAUUAUAUUUUUCUUACCUCUUUUUCUUUGUCUUACUACUUGAGGAUGUCUGUCCUCUGGUGCUAUAUAUUUCUCUCAACUACUAUCUAUUUGUCUUACAUUUAGAGAUAUCUGUCCUUAGAUACUAUUUUAUUUCUCUUGCUAUAUGGAGAUGUCCCCUGGCUUUCUUGCUUAUCUAUUUUUCUUUUUCUUGCCAUACACAUAUAGUAAAAUAUGUUUUAUAUUUUACUAUAUAUAAUAAAAUAUUCUCUCAUAGUGUUUUAAAACCCUACCUUGGGAUUUAUUAUCAGGCCAUAUACCCAGAUUUUGAUUCAGUUGCCAUUUUUUUCUUGGUAACAUUUGAGGUCAUUCCCUGGUAAUAUUUCCCAUUGAGGAUAUUCCUAGUACAAUACCUUUCUCAUAUUUUGUUCUAUUACCGGUGGAGGUUGUCUCAUUGUUUUUGUAUUGCCAUUUGGGGAUAUCUCCCCUGGCAGUGUUUCUGUUAUUUUGAAAUUUAAUGAUGGUAUUUAUAUUGCCAUUUGGGAAUAUUCCCUGGCAAUGUUUUUAGUUAUGCCAUUUGGGGAUAUCCCUGGCAAAAUUACCGGUGGCUGCCUUUCUUAUUGUCUUUUGGUAAUGUAUCCUAAUCAUUUUUCUUUUGCCAAAUACGGAUGUUCUGAUGCAGCACUAUAUAUUUGCUGUUGCUAUUUGGGGUGUUCCCCUGGUACUUUUACUCAUACUAUUUUUCUCAAUCAUCCUAUUCUUGCUUUCUGGAUGUUCCCUGAUACAUCCCGUUUCUGUUUCAAUCUCUUCUGUUGCUAUUUGGAGUUUGUCUCCUGGCAAAUAUAACUGCUUGUUUGCUUGGAAAUGUUAUUUAUCAGAGAUCUUUGGCUAUCACUUUGCUUUCUGCUGGUAUAUAAAAAAAAGAUAUCUUGGGAUCAAUUAUCAUUCCUGAAAUUUUCUUUCUGUUUUGGGGUCAGUUCCCUGUUAAAUACAUUUCGAAACCUGAAAUAGAUUUCACGCUUUAAUAACCUAUCCUCUAUGCUGCUUGAUUUUCAUGGCUCAAAAGUUAUAUCUGUAACAUCUGUCAUAACCUUCUUUACCAUAGUUUCUGUCAGGAAUCCUAUAUCUUAUCAUCAGUUCGUUUUAGUGUGUUAGCUAUUGCCAUUUGGAGACUAGUUCCAUUGAUGUCUCUAAUUUUGCAGCUGUGUCCUUCAGUUCCUUUGAAAGUUUCCUUUUCUGUUUUUGCUUUACUAUGAAUGAUCUUGUAGCAUCAAAGAUUCCUUGUGGUUCUGCUGAUUCUUCCCUUCCAUAUUUAUGGGUUGACAAUUCCAUGUCAUUUUUCUACUAAUACUAAUGAAAAGUAGUUCCUCUAUCACUACCAUUCCCAUUAUUCCAUUUUGGGGUAUUUGUUUCUCUUUCAAUUGCUAUUGACACUGACAAGUCUUUGAUUAUGGCAGUUCGCACACAUACCAUGAUGGAACUUGCCUUUUGAGUGUAUCUUGUCUACUAAAAUUGUUCUUCUAUCCCCCUUUGAAACAUCAAACUUACAAAUCUCUCUAAACAAAAACACCCAUAGUGUUUUAGUUUUCAUCAAAACGGAGAUUUUUGGUGUUUUUCAUCAAUCUCCUUUGAUAUUAGAAUUUAGCUGCUACUUCCAUAAACUGAAAUUAUCAGGCUUAUUGGAAAUCAUAUUCCCUGCUCCAUUUUGUGCAGAAAAUUUUCAUUCCACAUUAAGAUUCAAUCAUCAAACAGAAGCAUAAUUUUCUUCGAAGCAUCGGAAAUUCACUCAAUCUCCUUUCUUAUGAAAGAAUUAAAUAAAAAAUAAAAACUGUUAUCAC
rnacentral:lncRNA from 1 species